rnacentral:misc_RNA from 1 species
GAUGAAGAACGUAGCGAAAUGCGAUACGUAAUGUGAAUUGCAGAAUUCAGUGAAUCAUCGAGUCUUUGAACGCACAUUGCGCCCCCUGGUAUUCCGGGGGGCAUGCCUGUCCGAGCGUCAUUGCUGCCUUCAAGCACGGCUUGUGUGUUGGGCCUCCGUCCUCCUCCCGGGGGACGGGCCCGAAAGGCAGCGGCGGCACCGCGUCCGGUCCUCGAGCGUAUGGGGCUUCGUCACCCGCUCUUGUAGGCCCGGCCGGCGCUUGCCGACACAUCAAUCUUUUUUCCAGGUUGACCUCGGAUCAGGUAGGGAUACCCGCUGAACUUAAGCAUAUCAUAAGCGGAGGA